rnacentral:rRNA from 1 species
AACCUGGUUGAUCCUGCCAGUAGUCAUAUGCUUGUCUCAAAGACUUAGCCAUGCAUGUCUAAGUAUAAGUAUUAUACAGCGAAACUGCGAAUGGCUCAUUAAAACAGUUAUAAUUUAUUUGAUAAUCGAAUUUACAUGGAUAACCGUGGUAAUUCUAGAGCUAAUACAUGCUGGUAGGCCCGACUUUUUGGAAGGGCGGUAUUUAUUAGAUAACAAACCAAUAUUCCUCUGGUCUAUUGUGGUGAAUCAUAAUAACUGAUCGAAUCGCAAGGUUUUUAACCGCGAUAAGUCAUUCAAGUUUCUGCCCCAUCAGCUAUCGAUGGUAGUGUAUUGGACUACCAUGGCUUUUACGGGUAACGGAGGAUUAGGGUUCGAUUCCGGAGAGGGAGCCUGAGAAACGGCUACCACAUCUAAGGAAGGCAGCAGGCGCGUAAAUUACCCAAUCCUGACUCAGGGAGGUAGUGACAAGAAAUAACGGACCGAGGCCUUCGGGCUUCGGGAUUGCAAUGAGCCGAAUUUACACCCCUUAGCGAAGAUCGAUUGGAGGGCAAGUCUGGUGCCAGCAGCCGCGGUA